rnacentral:lncRNA from 1 species
CCUUUCCGCUUAAAUUUGUUGGUGAUAAAGUAUUCUCCCCAUUUAACGUCCACUGUAUGGGACCAAAAUUGUCCUCUUCCUCAUCUUCCAUACUUAAAUAAAUUCACCAUUUUGUCUUUAUAUAAACAAUAACAAUUUCUUUUGCUAUAUCUAAGCAAAAACUAUUAUAUAUCCUUGUGUUCCUUGUCACAAAAGAAAAAGCAAUAAAGUAGGAGAAUGAUAAUCUACCCAUACAUAAUAACUAAUCCUCCAAAUCUAGCUAGAUUUUAUUAACUAAAGCAUAAGAAAAAACUACAACUUAAAAAAAGUAAAAAAAAAAUGAAUAAGAGAAGGGAUAAUUUGCAUUUAUGAAGGUGGUGACAUUUCUCCAAUAAUCCCAUGUAUGUUGCCAAAUUGGGAUUUCAUUUUCUAAAGGAAACUCCCAAGGAAAUCGGUCCUAUAAGCUGUUAGUAGUAAGUUUGAAUAAGCAACAACAAGGCAACUUCCUACUCAUCAAUCAAAAUCUCUAUUGAAUGAUACACCUCUAUUGGUUAUUGGGUAAGCCGGUAAGGUUAGGGAAGUGGGGUCCUAACACACUUGGAGGAUAGAU